AACGAACGCUGGCGGCAUGCCUAACACAUGCAAGUCGAGCGAGACCUUCGGGUCUAGUGGCGCACGGGUGCGUAACGCGUGGGAACCUGCCCUUAGGUUCGGAAUAACUCCCCGAAAGGGGUGCUAAUACCGGAUAAUGUCUUCGGACCAAAGAUUUAUCGCCUUUGGAUGGGCCCGCGUUGGAUUAGCUAGUUGGUAGGGUAAAAGCCUACCAAGGCGACGAUCCAUAGCUGGUCUGAGAGGAUGAUCAGCCACACUGGGACUGAGACACGGCCCAGACUCCUACGGGAGGCAGCAGUGGGGAAUAUUGGACAAUGGGCGAAAGCCUGAUCCAGCAAUGCCGCGUGAGUGAUGAGGGCCUUAGGGUUGUAAAGCUCUUUUACCCGGGAUGAUAAUGACAGUACCGGGAGAAUAAGCGCCGGCUAACUCCGUG
rnacentral:rRNA from 1 species